AAAAUAAGUCAAACUAACAGCAAAUGAGAAAAUAAAAUGCGGAAUUUGCAGAUGUGUCAGACAUUUAGUAAUAGACUGAAGGAUUUUAAAGAUAUAUUGAACUCAUUUUUGAUACAAUAUAAAAUUAAGUUAACCUUUCAAGAAAAGUAGUUUGAGGUAGAUCCAACAUUUGGAUUAAAAAUUUAUGUGUGUUCUAUUCAAAACUUAUAUAUACGCUGAUUUAAUACGAGAUAUUUUUUUUUUGAUUUUCCUUUUUUUUAUUCGGUUUUGCCUAAAACUCGACUACGGCGUUAUUUGACUAAAAUAUACUAUUAUUAAACAAUUUUUAGGCUAACUUUUAUUUUUCUUCAGAUUUAGGAGUGAUAAAGUUAUGAAGAGACGAAUUUGUACUCUAUCUUUGAGGAAGUUUUCUGAACUUAUGUUUUGAUUUUAAUACAAUUAUGCAUUCUUCACAUUUGAUAUGUGUUUCUUUAUUUAUGUUUGAGUAAAUCUAUAGUUAGGCGCAUGGUUUCUAGGAAUACAUAGAUUGUUGAUUGUGGUUUGAUAGAAUUUAGUGACUGAAUUUGACUGAUCACAUAGUUUAUGAUUCAUGUGGGAACAUAAAUUUGCAAUGUUAAAAAAUUGUAAUGAAAAAUGCAAAACUUAAUUGGGAGCAGCAAGUAAUCCGAAAGAUGCGGAAAUGAAAUAAAAGAAUACAAAAAUGGAACUUACAAACAAAUUUUUUUAUCAUGAAUUUGCGUAAGAGCGUUCAAGAGACUUAAUUGAUUUCUUGCUAUUUUCAUGUUUCUCCGUAUCAUAUAUUGGUUCAUUUAGUUCAUUUAGGUUGCAUUUAGGUGUAUAUAUUGCAUUUGUGUGUUCAUUUGCAUAUAAUAGGCGUUGGAGAAGCUAUUUGGUGGAUUUGGAGGUGGUUAGAGUACUUUGAAGUCAAUGUGGUGAAAAGUAGGUGUAGACAAUUUUUUAUGUGCUAAGUAUCCUAACGACAACAUGUCGCUACGAAGAAGGCUAUGAGUUUGUAGCGACCACCGUAGCGACCACAACAGGUCGCUACAAAACACCAGAGAGUUGAAAUUUGGCAAGUGUCCUAGCAACCAGGGCAAGCAGCUGCAACACUUAGAAACAAUCUGUAAAUUUUUGCAUAUGACAGCUUUUUCCCAAUUUAUUUUGGGUCGAUCUAAGGUUGUUGGGCCGACCCAGUUCGUUUUUAAAGCCUAUAAAUAGGUAUUUAAGGGAUGAAAAUCCUAAGCUACCUAAGCCUUAGUUUUGUUAUUUCUCUUGUUUUUAGACUUAAUCUCUUGUGAAUCUUGCUUGGUUUAAAGAUUUAUUUUGUUAAUCUUGUUUAUCUAUCUUCUAAUCUCUUGUUUAUCCAAUAAUCUAUCAUGGGUUUGUGUGGUUUCAUGGAGAUUAGUGAGUAAAACUUUUAGAGUUCUUGGGUUUAGUAGAUUAGAGUGAUUAGUGCUUGAUUUAUGAAGAUAUGUGCAUAAUCUAUAUGAUCUUGAUUGGUGUGCUUAAUGCUAGAUUAAGGUCGGAAAAUCAUAAUCUAGAUCAUAAUUUGUUUCAUGCCUGGAAAAUGUUCGAUGACAUGCUUGAAUGAAAUCAUUAAUGUGUUUUACUUGCUUAGCCAACAUGAGUUGAUGCUAGGGUUUUUUAGUGGCUAUUAGGACUUGAGUUUUAUGCAUGCGUGAUGCUAAUUAACAAAUGGGAAUUGAUGUUAAGAACUUGAUUAGCAUAGUAGUUAUUGUCACGAGAGUGGAUUAGCUCAUAUUAGUGAUUUUAGGCUAAAAAUUAGGAAUUGUUGAUUGUUUGAGCAUCGUGAGAUAGUAUUUGAUCAUUCUAAUCAAUAUACUUGACCCAAGAGCUUGUCUUUUUUUUUUUAAGUUUGUCGGUUUGACUUUUUGUUCACUUUUUUAUUUUACAUAGUUUAAUCAUAAUCCUCUUCCCAUUUUCUUAGAUUAGGGAAAUUUGUGUAUUCAUAAUAAGAAUAGGUCUUAAUUCUAUGUGGAUUCGAUCAUAGAGUGCUAAAAUGACAUAUCAUUCGAUUGUGGUAUUGUUGGCACAAUAGGUUAAUUGGUAUGUGCUUAAACGCAUAAUCAAAAAUCGUACAAGACAUUCAUAUGGAAGUGAGAUUAUAACUAAAAUUGAAUAAUAUAUGCAGUAAAACCUAUCUAAGUUUCUAAAGUAACCACAUAUGUCAAAAAAUCUAGAUGAGUCGCAGCUCUUUAGCAUAAGAUAAAUAUAAAGCCUAAAGUUUCUAAUUGGAGAGAGUUUCAGUAGC
rnacentral:lncRNA from 1 species